GGUUCCAUAGUAUAGUGGUUAGCACAUCUGCUUUACACGCAGAAGGUCCUGGGUUCGUGCAGCAGUUGAGCCA
rnacentral:tRNA from 1 species